rnacentral:lncRNA from 1 species
CUCACUUUAAAACAGAAUAAAGAUGUUCCCAAAGUUCACGUCUGACGCCCUCUGGGGCAACAGCCUGGCCCAGCUGUGCUGAGUGGCAGUAGCAGCAGCCAGGGCUCUGGGCACACCCUCCUGCCAGCUCACCCGAGUUCCCCAUUGGCGGCCACAGGCACCCGCAGCAGACCGGCUCGAUGCACGGGGCACAGAAGGUCAGGGCCUGCCCAGGCUGUGGUCUCUGGGGCAGCACGCAAGAGUGCAAAUCCCAGCUGUCACACGCUCUCACGGAGGACACCUCCCCACAGACAUGCAGCACACACAUGCACACAACACACACAGAUGUGUGCACCUACAGACAUGCACAUGUAUGCACAUGCACACUUACACACGCACACACACACGGCACACACGCACACACACGGCACACCCACACGCACACACGCGGCACACACACGGCACACCCACACGCACACACAUGGCACACACACGCACACACGCACGGCACACCCAUGGUACACACACGCACACCCACGGCACACACACAGCACACACACGCACACACACGCGGCACACACGCACACACACGGCACACACACGCACACACACGACGCACACACGCACACCCUGGACCACAGCCUGGGCCACCACAGGAGUGACAGCCACAGCAGGAAGUCCUGCCUGGGUCCACGUUCCUGCGUCAUUUAACGCCUGUUCGCUGGGCACCAGCUCUGUGCCAGGCUUGCACUGGGCACAAGGACACUGUGGGGAGCAGAGGCAGGGCCCUGGACAGCGUGGUCCGUGGGACAGCACGUGGGUGGCAGCUCUGCCUGGAACACAACUCCCCUACCCGUCUACCUGCUGUGGUCCAAGCUACCGCCCCUCUUGCCUAGUGAAAGCCCAGGCCUCGGGCCGCCCACUCUGCUUGUCUCCCCUCCAUGUCCCAUCCCCGUAGCCCCAGCUCAGCUCUGUCCUCCCACAGCCUCCCCCUCCUCACCGGCCCCAACUCCUGCUGCUGCGGCUCCUUGGGCCUCAGCACAACAUAGGCAGGUGUCUGCUGACCGCCCAGUCCCCAGUACCACCUUCUUUACACAGGACUGGACCCUGGACACCUUGCUGGCCCCUCUCUGCAGUGGAUGCCAAGGGAGGGCAGGGUCUCUGCUUGACACCCUGCCCAGUGGAAAGAUGUGGCGCCGAAAGCAAGGACUGUGGAGGGGGCGCUGGGACAGGGUGUGGAGGUUCCAGGGCAGGAAGGUCGGUGUGAGCCGGGUCCGGAGAGCCAGGGCAGGUGUGGGGAGAGGCUGGGUCCAGUGGAGGCCUGCAUUCCUGUCUGUGCGUGGGGUGGGGGUGGGGGUGGCACUGAGCAGAGGGAAGGGGACCCUGGCGGGGACCCCGGGUGGAAGGGACGGAGGGUGACAGGUUUG